UUCUUUUGGAAAUAGGAUUUUGAUUAAAUUUUGUUUCCUUUGAAAGAAUAAAGCAGUGAAAAGAAUAAAACACUUUUAAGCAGGUAAAAUUCUAUUCUUCUCAGGAAGUGGAGAAAAGUUCACCGGCAGAACCCAGGGAAGAUCUGGGCUGAUUCCAGGCUGGCGUUGGGUUAAGCUGCAGUGCCUGAUUCAGGGGCAACCGCACUGGGCAACCGUCCAUCUGAGAGAUGAAAAUCCCUCAACUGCUGCUGGGGGAACAGAGAUAGAGUUUGCUAAGGACCAAGGACUCCUGGCCCUGGGUCCUCUCAGUGGCUUCAGAACCAGGAUGGCCUCUGCCACAGUGUUUCCCAGAGCUGCUCCCAUCCAUCGACUCCUCCUAUUCAGAGAAGCGGAGAAAACCUGUCUAUAACAGGUCUCCUAAAAGACAGUGAGGGGUCACGGGGUCCCAGCUCAUGCAACUAACUUAUUCCUGCCUCUCUGUACCUUGAUGGGUAAUGGCCGGACCACAGGAAGUAUUUGCAACUCCUAGAAAAGAAGGGGAUUACAAAUUAACACAAUGUAAAUAUAAUAAAGUAAAAUGUUAUCCUAAAACAGA